rnacentral:rRNA from 2 species
UACGAAGGGGGCUAGCGUUGUUCGGAUUUACUGGGCGUAAAGCGCGUGUAGGCGGGUCGUUAAGUUGGGGGUGAAAUCCCGAGGCUCAACCUCGGAACUGCCUUCAAAACUGGCGACCUGGACUCAAGUAGAGGCAAGUGGAAUUGCGAGUGUAGAGGUGAAAUUCGUAGAUAUUCGCAGGAACACCAGUGGCGAAGGCGACUUGCUGGACUUGUAGUGACGCUGAGACGCGAAAGCGUGGGGAGCAAACAGG